rnacentral:rRNA from 1 species
GUAGGGAAUAUUGCGCAAUGGACGCAAGUCUGACGCAGCAACGCCGCGUGGGUGAUGAAGCUCCUUGGAGUGUAAAACCCUGUCAGUGGGGAAGAAACGUAUGAGUAGUAACUGACUCGUACCUGACGGUACCCACAGAGGAAGUCCCGGCUAACUCCGUGCCAGCAGCCGCGGUAAUACGGGGGGGACGAGCGUUGUUCGGAUUUACUGGGCGUAAAGGGCGCGUAGGCGGACCUUCAAGUCGGAUGUGAAACCUGUCGGCUUAACUGACAGCCUGCACCCGAUACUGUCGGCCUUGAGUACAGGAGAGGAGAGCGGAAUUCCUGGUGUAGCGGUGAAAUGCGUAGAUAUCAGGAAGAACACCGGUUGCGAAGGCGGCUCUCUGGACUGAUACUGACGCUUAAGCGCGAAGGCUUGGGGAGCAAACAGGAUUAGAAACCCCAGUAGUCC